UCUCCUUUGAAAACAAAUACAGUGAAAAUUUAAUCUUGUUACACUGACACGAUGGGUGACUGGGUCUGGUCGGGUGACCCCGUGGGUUCGGUUAUGGGUCUAACCUCAGAUCCAUGGGUAGUGUUGUGGGCAAGGGAUCCACACGAUUGUUAUUCAGGCAUGGGUUUGGUUGAGGUUGACCUGACCAAACCCGACCCGAUUGCCACCUUGAGACCUGAUGAUGAGUCCUAGGCGCAACUGUGAUGCUCUUCUGCGUCUUAUUGAUCAAUCGAGAUAAGCCCUAGGAUAAGUACAUCUUUUCUAGUUUCAGUUUUAAUUUUCAAAUUGUUGUUCCUUCUAUAUUUCUGAGUUAGGAAUUGGGCGAGUUUUAUUUAAAAUAUCAACCUUGUGUACAAUAUACCAAUUGAUAACUAGGUUAACUGAUUCUAGCUUUCACGGAAUAAUUUGUACAAAAUAAGUUUGAGUAUGUGAGAGAGGAAUAAAUCUGUAGGUAGUAUCUGCCUUCAGUAUGCUAUUUUAUUUAAUGUCUCAACCUUUUGACAUUGGCAGGGGAGCUAAAGGAGGGUUUUCCUAUGUUUGUUGUAAAAUCUACAAUUUGCAACAUGUCUCAGUUAAUUGAUCUGAACAAGCUUCCUUGGGAUCCAUCUAAAAGUUGCCGGCUAGAAAUUUUAUUCAAGAAGAUUACGAACAAUAUAUUGCUGGUUAAAUGGAACUUGACUUUUUAGAGCGUCCAGAUGGAGCAUAUCUAUCAGAAUUGUUGGACCAUUCAUACUAGGGUCUUGUGGAAGGCCAAUGGAGAACAUUUACCUUAGUGUAUACUACUGGAUCAGGAUGGAACAAAAAUGGAAGCGAUCGCAUACAACAACCAAGCGUUUUGCUUCAACACCAUGCUACAAACCGGCAUAACACAUGACUUCACUCGCGUCGGGUUCAACCCCACGGAAAUACCAUAUGGACAUUUCUGGUAUCUAGCCAUGGAGUUUGUCAUCACACUAAAUGCUAGAACCGAGGUUAGGAUGUCGGUGCACAGGAUAACAUCGACAAUUUGUCCAUCGUGCUUCCCACAAUUUGGGGCCAUAUUCUCGC